GAGAAAAAUCAUCCAGAACCCUCAGCCAACUGAUUGUGCCCCCCUGCCCUUUUGGGGUGUUUUUUGUUGGGGGGGGGUGGUUUGUUUAUUUGGACCCAUUAUUCUGUAAUAGAUGAAAUUCUAAAUGCCAAGAAUUCCUCAUGGCAAACUCGAACUCUGGAACUUGUAGCAGAGCUAUGUAGUCUCUCAGUGUGGAUGGCAAGCAGACUGUGUCGCGAGCAGAAGCAUUCAAGAAACGGAGACGUAUCGGCAAAAAACGCUCCCAGCCUGGCAGAAUUUUUCACCAGCCUUGCUCGCAUGCCUCCUGCUCUUAUGAAUUUUCUAAGAGGAAGAAAACAGGAGCUUUAGCCUCCAGCCAGGGCCCGCAGGCCUGGACGUCCGAGGCCGUGCAGUGGCCCAUCUAGAGAUGGUAGUGGCCACUGGGCCGUUUCCUCAAGAACAGCGUGUUGCAUUAACAGUUCAGAGAAAGCUUA